rnacentral:rRNA from 1 species
GCUUGUCUCAAAGAUUAAGCCAUGCAUGUCUAAGUAUAAGCAAACUUGUACUGUGAAACUGCGAAUGGCUCAUUAUAUCAGUUAUAGUCUACUCGAUAGUACCUUACUACUUGGAUAACCGUAGUAAUUCUAGAGCUAAUACAUGCGCAAAUACCCAACUGCUUGUCGGACGGGUAGCAUUUAUUAGAUUGAAACCAAACGGCUUCGGCCGUCUCAUUGGUGACUCUGAAUAACUUUGGGCUGAUCGUAUGGCCUUGUGCCGACGACGUUUCCUUCGAAGGUGUGCCCUAUCAACUGUCGACUGUGAUAUAGACGCUCACAGUGGUUUUGACGGGUAACGGGGAAUCAGGGUUCGAUUCCGGAGAGGGAGCCUUAAAAACGGCUACCACAUCCAAGGAAGGCAGCAGG